ACGGAAGGCAGCAGUGAGGAAUAUUGGUCAAUGGGCGAGAGUCUGAACCAGCCAAGUCGCGUGAGGGAAGACGGCCCUAUGGGUUGUAAACCUCUUUUGCCGGGGGAUAAAGUCUGGGAUGCGUCUCAGUUUGCAGGUACCCGGUGAAUAAGGAUCGGCUAACUCCGUGCCAGCAGCCGCGGUAAUACGGAGGAUCCGAGUGUUAUCCGGAUUUAUUGGGUUUAAAGGGUGCGCAGGCGGUGGAUCAAGUCAGUGGUGAAAUGGUGCGGCUCAACCGUAGCAUUGCCGUUGAAACUGGUUCACUUGAGUGCGGAUGAGGCAGGCGGAAUGUGUUGUGUAGCGGUGAAAUGCAUAGAUAUGACACAGAACACCGAUUGCGAGGGCAGCUUGCCAGGCCGCAACUGACGCUGAGGCACGAAAGUGCGGGGAUCGAACAGGAUUAGAUACCCUGGUA
rnacentral:rRNA from 1 species